rnacentral:tRNA from 1 species
ACAUUGGUGGUUUGGUGGUGGAAUUCUCAUCUUCCAUGCAGAAGACCCAUGUUCAAUUCUUGGCCAAUGUA